rnacentral:rRNA from 1 species
ACACCAAAUAUGGGAAUCCUUCUGGAAUGAUGUUUCCCUUAAAAGCAAUGCCUAAGGAUGAGUUGGCGGCUGAUUAGGUUGUUGGUGGGGUAAUGGCCCACCAAGCCGAAGAUCAGUAGGGGUCUUGAGAGAGAUAGCCUCGAGAAGGGCACUGAGAUACUGGCCCUAGCCCUAAGGGGUGCAGCAGGCGCGAAACCUUUACAAUGCACGAAAGUGUGAUAAGGGAAUCCUAAGUGCCUUGCUUUUUGCAAGGCUUUUUUUAAGAGUAAAUAUCUUGGAGAAUAAGUGGUGGGAAAGACUGGUGCCAGCAGCCGCGGUAAUACCAGCGCCACAAGUGGUGAUCAUAUUUAUUGGGCCUAAAGCGUUCGUAGCCGGUUUGAUAAAUCUUCUGUGAAAUUGUCAGGCUUAACUUGACAGCGUGCAGAAGACACUAUUAAACUUGGAACCGGGAGGAGUCAGAGGUAUUCUUUGGGGAGCGGUAAAAUGCUAUAAUCCUAAGAGGACUAACUGUGGCGAAGGCGUCUGACCAGAACGGAUUCGACGGUGAUUGGACGAAAGUCAGGGGAGCAAUCCGGAUUAGAUACCCGAGUAGUCCUGACUGUAAACUCUGCGAGCUA